AUACCAUUGUGGGGAAACUUCCUAAAAAAUUCCUUGAAUCUCUCCCGAGCGUCACACACAUAUUCAUCCUCCAAUUGUUUAAAAGAAAUAUUCUCAUUUUGAAACU